UUCAAUCCAAAUGUCGUCACCUGCAUGUUGGUCUUCGCCCAUCUCUGUAAGAAUUUCGUAGAGGUGGUGCCCAAUGUUCCUCUGUUCCGUCACUUUUACUAGCCCGGAUAGAAGGCGAUGCCAUCUCCGGUAGUCGGACAUGGAUUUUGAGGUCCGCAUGGAAGGAUGAAUAUCUUGAGGUAACCUGGCAUAAUAAAUGGCCAGAAUGGAGAGAAAAUUGGUGAUGGAUCGAGCAGAAAGACUUCCGGAGUAAUGCCUCACUGCCACCGAGAAGCUCAAAAGGAGUCCCCGUUGGUCAGAUGUGGGUCCCCGAGACGAAGAGUUCGACCUCGCUUUGAGCCAGAUAGAAGAUCUCUGAGCUGCCAGCUUGACUCUUGAAGCAAUUGGUGUUGAUUUCCUCUGGCGUCGGAUAGCUCCACUACAGAGGAGAAUCCGGCUAGCCUGGGAAUACAAGAAUGGCGGCAACACGACGCAGCUCCGUCCCGAUCUGGCCAUCAACUUCGCAGUGCUGGAGCAUGAUUACGUCAUCCGCAAGAUCUUCAACAAAGGCCGCACACACAAGUUUGUCGGAUAUGGUGCUCCCUUGUGCAAUAACAUCGCGAGGGACUCCAUUUUGGCAAUAAUGCCGGCGUGCAAUGCCCAAGGCAUUCUGGCCAACCGGAAGAGGCUCGAGGAAGCUGUCGAAGUCAAGUGGUAUGACGAGCUAGUGGAGACCCCCGAGAGGGAGGAAAAAAGAUCUGAUCCACCCCACAAAGGACCACGAGCUAGAUUAUAUCGCCCAUACGGUGAAAACCUCAGGGAGCAUUGAAUCUUCCGGGCAGCAGGCAUCGACUCCGAAGAAGGAGAAGCAGAGGACGAAGAGGCAGAGGAUCCCCUGUCCCUCUGGCUCCCAAGAACACUGCCGCAACACCUAAAGCUUCAAGAAGACCUGUCAAGAAAAAGUCAAAGCACGCUAAGCCGGCUGAAGGCGAACCCGCCAGCACAGAGACUGGCACCAAGGCUCCCCGACAGCACGUUCUCCCGCAACAGGAUCCGCCGACAACGAAGAGAAUAAAGGCCUCCCAGCCACAGGCUCUAUCGGUAGUGAAGUGUGCCGAGCGCCCUCUCCUCCGGUGAAGGCUUCUAGCUCUGGAAGUCAAGCACAUUGGGAUAUCUCUGCCCUUGACGAGGAGGAAGAAGAUGAAUUACCACGGAUGUGAUUUCUUCGUGAAACUUCCUAAGCGAGUAUACUGGUUGUCCGGAUGUAAAUGGACAACUCGCUGGACAUUGUGGGACUAACCAACUCUGACCGCCACUUCUUAUGCAGGACUAUGUCAUAGUCCGGUUAUUUCUUUGUGGCGUACGUGGUGUCCACAUAGUGCCAUAUAUUUAGAAAGCAAACCGUAUACAGUGCAAUUAGUACAUGCCUAAUCAGUAGCCCUUCAGAUCA